rfam:Enterobacter aerogenes KCTC 2190, complete genome.
UUUCAUGAACAACAAAACUAAGCAUACUUUCCCCCUGGGUUCAGGCUGGAAUGUGCAUAGCUGAUUGGUAUAAGAGUUACUCUUAUCGACAGGCCAGUGGGGCAAUGAAUGUCGGUUUUAU